UCGAACGAUGAUGGGAGCUUGCUCCUGGAUUAGUGGCGAACGGGUGAGUAACACGUGAGUAACCUGCCCUUAACUCUGGGAUAAGCCUGGGAAACUGGGUCUAAUACCGGAUAUGACUCCUCAUCGCAUGGUGGGGGGUGGAAAGCUUUAUUGUGGUUUUGGAUGGACCCGCGGCCUAUCAGCUUGUUGGUGAGGUAAUGGCUUACCAAGGCGACGACGGGUAGCCGGCCUGAGAGGGUGACCGGCCACACUGGGACUGAGACACGGCCCAGACUCCUACGGGAGGCAGCAGUGGGGAAUAUUGCACAAUGGGCGCAAGCCUGAUGCAGCGACGCCGCGUGAGGGAUGACGGCCUUCGGGUUGUAAACCUCUUUCAGUAGGGAAGAAGCGAAAGUGACGGUACCUGCAGAAGAAGCGCCGGCUAACUACGUGCCAGCAGCCGCGGUAAUACGUAGGGCGCAAGCGUUAUCCGGAAUUAUUGGGCGUAAAGAGCUCGUAGGCGGUUUGUCGCGUCUGCCGUGAAAGUCCGGGGCUCAACUCCGGAUCUGCGGUGGGUACGGGCAGACUAGAGUGAUGUAGGGGAGACUGGAAUUCCUGGUGUAGCGGUGAAAUGCGCAGAUAUCAGGAGGAACACCGAUGGCGAAGGCAGGUCUCUGGGCAUUAACUGACGCUGAGGAGCGAAAGCAUGGGGAGCGAACAGGAUUAGAUAACCUGGUAGUCCAUGCCGUAAACGUUGGGCACUAGGUGUGGGGGACAUUCCACGUUUUCCGCGC
rnacentral:rRNA from 1 species